rnacentral:rRNA from 1 species
AUGCCGCUGAUUAUGGGGGAAAGCAACGGAUCUGUGUGCUCGCGAUUAUCGUGGGUGAGUGCUAGUUACCCCGAUUCUGCUGUUUUUGGCGUCGAUUCGGAGAGGCUGAGCAUGCUGCGAGAGGUUACCGAGGACGACCCCAGUGGCAGAUUUGCGGAUUUGAUGGAUUCUGUUGACGUUAGGUCAGAAACAGGCAAUGUGGAUCUAGAUGACAAUAGGGCUUUGAGGAUGGAGAAUAGAUAUACGGCUCUUGAUGACAAAGUUGGAUGGGUUACAAGGAACAGGAAGGUGGCAAUGCCAGACGAGAGAGCAACAAGUGCUGAAAGGGUGACAGCCCUGGAAACAACACUCACAGGAUUUGCCGAAAGAAAAACAGACACGAUGGUGACACCAUCGGUUGGGCUGACUUUUGACUCUAUAAUCGAGGCCUGCGAUUUUUACAAUCUUUAUUCCUGGGAGACAGGGUUCGGCAUCAGAUAUGCAAAGAGCAGAACCAAUGUCAAAGGAACGAGAUGCAUGCAGGAGUUUGUGUGCUGCUGCUCGGGCAAGCCAAAAGAGGCGAACUCAACAUCAUCACGGUGUCAAUGCCAAGCCAUGAUAAGACUCUUGCGUAUAGAUGACGAUGGCUGGUACAUCAACGAAUUCAGGUCCAGCCACAAUCACUCGAUGUUGAACACAUGUGCUGAGAAACUCCACUUCCCUUCACAUAGGCAUAUUGACAAAUAUACGAGAGCUAGUAUCUCAGCUUAG